AUUAUUCUGUUGAGAAAGCACUGGAAUGUUUUGUGAGAUAUUUUUAUAUGAAGGAGUAGCUUCAGUUCAAACAGCUGGAAUAGUUAGAACAUGUUAGCAUGGUAGCUAUAUCCACACGACUGCACACACAGUGCUCCGAAAGGAAACCUGGGACUUCGUUUCCAUUGUCUUGAAGGAAGAGUUUGGUUGACUUAAAAAUACAAGAUACACAGGACGUGGAAAAACAAAAUGUAUGCAGUACUUAGGUAAUGAGUCUACACAAGAUAAUCAUCUGUGAAUAUUACUGGUUUUGUAAUCUUUGUUAUAUAAGAGGAUGUUUAGGCUGUACAUAUGGGGGUAGAUUAUUGCCUGCCCCUUAUACAUAGGAAUAUGCUGCAUAAUUGCAUAGAACUUCCAUCUCUCUUCCCAGCUUGUAGGCAGAGGAAACCAUACAUGCUACUGCCUUGUAAAUUUCUCAGACACCAAAAACCAAACCAAACAAAGUCAAAUCAAAUAAGCAGUCUCCUCAGUCACUUCC
rnacentral:lncRNA from 1 species